AAUAGAUUCUGGUCAUGAAACAGGCCCCAUUUCAGAGAAACAGCUUCCCAUAAAAUGCCUUCGCCCAGAGGUUCAAAUCCGGGUUAGCACAUUGCAUUUAUUUGUCACGUCUCCUCUGAACUGUGAAAAGUCUCUUAUUUUUCAUCACCAUGACACUUCGAGUUUUGGAGAUUUCAGUGCGUGAUCGUUUUGACCUUGUGGCAGGGAAGUGCAUCGUGGUGGGAAGCAUGUGGCAGAGCGAAGGCACUUACCUCCUGACCAGAGUAUUAAAGAGAGGAGGACAAAGGGUCUGGAGUCCCACUCUUCCCUUCAAGGACACACUGAGUGACCGGAAGACCUCCCAAUAGUACCGUGGG